UCAAGCGUGUAGUUUAAACAGCAUCGCUUCCUUCAAAAAGCCCUGCCCAUAAACGCGCUCACGCUGGCGGACUACUAGCCAUAAAUGGCU